AAGUCGUAACAAGGUUUCCGUAGGUGAACCUGCGGAAGGAUCAUUAACCUUUCAAAACAGGGUGCGUCGCGGCCCCGACGGUGCAGGGAAUCAAGGCCCGAACUAGCCGUCAGGCAGGGUUUCGGGGGUUUGGGCCUUCCCCCCUUUCCCCUUCAACGCGCGCACGACUGCCAUCCUUACUUUACGAGCACCUUCUGUUCUCCCUCGGCGGGGCAACCUGCCGUUGGAACCGAAUAAACUCUUUUUGCAUCUAGCAUUACCUGUUCCGAAACAACAAUCGUUACAA
rnacentral:misc_RNA from 1 species